GGUUCGAUCAUGGCUCAGAUUGAACUGGCGAUCUUUACACAAUGCAAGUCGAACGGCAGCACGGACUUCGGUCUGGUGGCGAGUGGCGAACGGGUGAUAAUGUAUCGGAACGUGCCUAGUAGCGGGGGAUAACUACGCGAAAGCGUAGCUAAUACCGCAUACGCCCUUCGGGGAAAGCGGGGGACCUUCGGGCCUCGCACUGUAGGCGGCCGAUAUCGGAUUAAGCUAGUUGGUGGGAGUAACGGCUCACCAAGGCGACGAUCCGUAGCUGGUUUGAGAGGACGACCAGCCACACUGGGACUGGAACACGGCCCAGACUCCUACGGGAGGCGGCAGUGGGGAAUUUUGGACAAUGGGGGAAACCCUGAUCCAGCCAUCCCGCGUGUGCGAUGAAGGCCUUCGGGUUGUAAAGCACUUUUGGCAGGAAAGAAACGGCGGGAUAAUACCCCGUGCAACUGACGGUACCCUGCAGAAUAUAGCACCGGCUAACUACGAUGCCAGCAACCGCGGUAAUACGUAGGGUGCAACGUUAAUCGGAAUUACUAGGCGUAAAGCGUGCGCAGGCGGUUCGAAAGAAAGAUGUGAAAUCCCAGAGCUUAACUUUGGAACUGCAUUUUUAACUACCGAGCUAGAGUGUGUCAGAGGAGUGGAAUUCCGCGUGUAGCAGUGAAAUGCGUAGAUAUGCGGAGGAACACCGAUGGCGAAGCGCUCUGGGAUAACACUGACGCUCAUGCGGCAGUGAGGAGCGAACCCAGGAUUAGAUACCUGGUAGUCCACGCCUAAACGAUGUCAACUAGCUGUUGGGGCCUUCGGGCCUUGGCGUGGCCUGGCUAGCGUGUAGUUGACCGCCUGGGAGUACGGUCACUUAGAUUAAAACUCGGAAUUGACGGGGACCCGCACAAGCGGUGGAUGAUGUGGAUUAAUUCGAUGCAACGCGAAAAACCUUACCUACCAUCGACGUAUGCGGAAUCCGAGGGAUUUGGGAGUAACUCAGCAAGGAGGAACCAAGGUUACAGUGUUUGCAUAAACAAUCGUCAGCUCAGUGUCGUGAGAUGUGCGGAUUGAUCCCGCAACAGAGCGCAACCUUGCCAUUGAGUUGCUACGAAGACAUCGCGGACACCGGUGACAGAUGGAGGAGAUUGGGGAUGACGUCAGUCUCUUGGCCUUAUGGUGAGGGCUUUACGUCUUCAAUGUCAGGACGAAGAAGGUCAUCGCUUCCGCGAGAAGACCAAUCCAAAGCCGAUCAGCAGUCGGAUGCGAUCAUCGGCUACGUGAAAUCGGAAUCCGUAAUAAUCAUGAUCAACGCUCGCGGUGGGCUCCGUUCCAGAUCUUAUCCCACUGCCCGUCACCAUGGAGUGGGUUUACCGAAGUGGUUAACCUACUUAUAAGGCGGUCUACAAAGUGGGAUUAACAAUGGUGGGAAUAAUAACAGUAGCUCUUCUGAUGCUGGGGAGCAAUAUGAAAA
rnacentral:rRNA from 1 species